rnacentral:miRNA from 1 species
UCACAACCUUUUUGAGUGAGCGA